UGGGGAAUCUUGGACAAUGGGCGCAAGCCUGAUCCAGCCAUGCCGCGUGAGUGAAGAAGGCCCUAGGGUUGUAAAGCUCUUUCGGCGGGGACGAUAAUGACGGUACCCGCAGAAGAAGCCCCGGCUAACUCCGUGCCAGCAGCCGCGGCAAUACGGAGGGGGCUAGCGUUGUUCGGAAUUACUGGGCGUCAAGCGCACGUAGGCGGGUCGUUAAGUCGGGGGUGAAAUCCCGGGGCUCAACCUCAGAACUGCCUUCGAUACUGGCGACCUUCAGUACGGGAAAGGUGAGUGGAAUUCCCAGUGUAGAGGUGAAAUUCGUAGAUAUUGGGAAGAACACCAGGGGCGAAGGCCGCUCACUGGCCCGUAACUGACGCUGAUGUGCGAAAGCGUGG
rnacentral:rRNA from 1 species